ensembl:piRNA 21ur-10945 ncRNA
UUGAUUCUGUGCUAUUGAUUU